rnacentral:rRNA from 1 species
UACGUAGGGUCCGAGCGUUGUCCGGAAUUACUGGGCGUAAAGAGCUCGUAGGUGGUUUGUCGUGUUGUUCGUGAAAACUCACAGCUCAACUGUGGGCGUGCGGGCGAUACGGGCAGACUAGAGUACUGCAGGGGAGACUGGAAUUCCUGGUGUAGCGGUGGAAUGCGCAGAUAUCAGGAGGAACACCGGUGGCGAAGGCGGGUCUCUGGGCAGUAACUGACGCUGAGGAGCGAAAGCGUGGGGAGCGAACAGG